GCCAGUGUGGCAUAGUGGUUUGGGUGUUUGACUAGGACUCUGGAGACCAGGCUUCAAAUUCCUUCUCUGCUA